CCUACGGGAGGCAGCAGUAGGGAAUAUUGCUCAAUGGGGGAAACCCUGAAGCAGCAACGCCGCGUGGAGGAUGAAGGUUUUCGGAUUGUAAACUCCUUUUGUUAGAGAAGAUAAUGACGGUAUCUAACGAAUAAGCACCGGCCAACUCCGUGCCAGCAGCCGCGGUAAUACGGGGGGUGCAAGCGUUACUCGGAAUCACUGGGCGAAAAGAGCGCGUAGGCGGGAUAGCAAGUCAGAUGUGAAAUCCUAGGGCUUAACCAUAGAACUGCAUUUAAAACUGUUAUUCUAGAGGAUGGGAGAGGUAGGUGGAAUUCUUGGGGUAGGGGUAAAAUCCGUAGAAAUCAAGAGAAAUACUCAU
rnacentral:rRNA from 1 species